AUUGAACGCUGGCGGCAGGCCUAACACAUGCAAGUCGAGCGGAUGAGGGAAGCUUGCUUCCCGAUUUAGCGGCGGACGGGUGAGUAAUGCCUAGGAAUCUGCCUAUUAGUGGGGGAUAACGUUCCGAAAGGAACGCUAAUACCGCAUACGUCCUACGGGAGAAAGUGGGGGAUCUUCGGACCUCACGCUAAUAGAUGAGCCUAGGUCGGAUUAGCUAGUUGGUGGGGUAACGGCUCACCAAGGCGACGAUCCGUAGCUGGUCUGAGAGGAUGGUCAGCCACACUGGAACGGAGACACGGUCCAGACUCCUACGGGAGGCAGCAGUGGGGAAUAUUGGACAAUGGGCGAAAGCCUGAUCCAGCCAUGACGCGUGUGUGAAGAAGGUCUUCGGAUUGUAAAGCACUUUAAGUUGGGAGGAAGGGUUGUAAGCUAAUAUCUUGCAGCUUUGACGUUACCAACAGAAUAAGCACCGGCUAACUCUGUGCCAGCCGCCGCCGUAAGAC
rnacentral:rRNA from 1 species